UACGAAGGGGGCUAGCGUUGCUCGGAAUCACUGGGCGUAAAGGGCGCGUAGGCGGACUUUUAAGUCGGGGGUGAAAGCCCAGGGCUCAACCCUGGAAUUGCCUUCGAUACUGAGAGUCUUGAGUUCGGAAGAGGUUGGUGGAACUGCGAGUGUAGAGGUGAAAUUCGUAGAUAUUCGGAAGAACACCAGUGGCGAAGGCGACUUACUGGACACAUAUUGACGCUGAGGUGCGAAAGCGUGGGGAGCAAACAGG
rnacentral:rRNA from 1 species